rnacentral:rRNA from 1 species
GCUCGAGUGGCGAACGGGUGAGUAACACGUGAGUAACCUGCCCUUGACUUUGGGAUAACUUCAGGAAACUGGGGCUAAUACCGGAUAGGAGCUCCUGCUGCAUGGUGGGGGUUGGAAAGUUUCGGCGGUUGGGGAUGGACUCGCGGCUUAUCAGCUUGUUGGUGGGGUAGUGGCUUACCAAGGCUUUGACGGGUAGCCGGCCUGAGAGGGUGACCGGCAACAUUGGGACUGAGAUACGGCCCAG